UCCUCGCCUCGCAUUCAAAACAAAAACACUCGAAACGAAAAUAAAAUAUUCACCACCGCCUCGUUUGCCAACAUCGUCUUUACAAGGAAUGUCCAGCAGUGCAUGACAGAGGCCGGUCACUCCCAUUAAGUCCAGGCAGCUGAAGAGCCUCCCCAAAGACAGUUCAUAGGACAAAAUGCAGUUACACAGAUUUUAACGGUGUUGGAAACAAUGAGAGACGAGAACAGGGAAAUGAAGCGGAUGCUGCAGCAGCUCUUGGCUAGGUCAGCUACUGAUGACGAGCCAAUGCAACUGCCAGAGAACAUCAUUCUUCCAAUUAGAACAUUUGAGCAAAUGGAUGAGUUUGAAUAGCAUCUUGGUGAUGAAGCUACGAUCCAUCUUUUCUAGGACUGCUGCAUAGUUCAAGCUUUUUUAUCAAAUAUAUUAAGCAAUGUUGUAAAUGUAAUUGACAGUUUUUUCUCCAUUAAUCCUAAACCAUUCCUUUAAGGCUCAUCUUCUAAGAAAGCAAACAAUCUUUUUUAUCUGGAAAUGAAACGGUAUAUAUUCCUUUGCAAAAGAAGAAACAGCAUUUCAGUUUUUGAAGGUUUUAAAAGACAUAUAUAAUAUAUAUAUAUAUAUAUAUAUAUCAUGUGCAAUUACGAAAAACACUAGAAUGUAUGAAGAUAUCAAAGAUAAUAAUAUGGACUUGUUCUCGAAAAAGGAUUUGCCAUUUAUUUCAGUUUUGGAUUUUUUUGCAGGGUUUUUAAUUUGUAGUUUAUAAAAUAUUUUGUUUAGUCUUGCAAGUAUGUUUUCCACGAAUGUUCUUUGAGUACAUGGUGUGUUAUUUGUAUUGGUUAAAGAUUUAAUAUGCAUGGGUAUGUUUUGUAGUAAUGUGUAGUAAAUCAGGAAAAUACUUGAAGGUAUUCUGUAUAUGUAAAAAUAAUAGAAGUCCUUAAUUCUAUAGUCGUAUAACUGGUCGACAUAUAUAAUGUUAUAGAAAAACGUCUUAUUGUUUGAAGUUAUGUCUUUAUUGUUCCAUAAAAUACUGUUGGUUUGGGUUUAUAUAUUAUGAGUAACAUUACUCCAUGCAGAUAGAACAUUAGAUAGAAACAUGUUUUCGUUAGCUACUUUAUGUAAAAUACUUUUGCUGAUGUUACAUUCAAAAAGUUAGGAAUCACAUUAUUAUUUUAGAAUUUUCUGGUAGAAUAGUUAACGUGGGAUCCUCCUGCUAUGUAUGUAUGAAUCCAUGUAUAUGUGUGUAAUACUUUAUGUGAAUAAAAGUUGAGAGUACUUUAAUAAAUUUUUAAGUCUUAACAAAAACCUUGUAUUUCUUGCAGGAUAAUGCUAUUAAGCUCUUAAACCCUUUGAUAUCACUCUGUUCCAGCAAGAAGAAAUAGAUAAAACAUUUUAAAAAAAUGAAAUUGAAAGUACAUGUACAAGAAUCUUUUGUCUGAUGUUCAAUUUGAACACACAGUAUUUCAUGUUUGCAGCCUACAUAUUAUUUCUAACAUCACCUGAAUUUCCAUUAAUGCGUUGUCCCAAAUUUUACAGGCUCUGUGUACCCAUAUUGAAUACAAUGCUACCAGUUUGUAGCCCAUAUUUAGUACAAUGCUGCCCGUAUGUAGCCCAUAUUGAGUAAAAGGGCUACCCGUAUGUAGCCCAUAUUGAGUAAAAGG